rfam:Felis catus isolate Cinnamon breed Abyssinian chromosome A2, whole genome shotgun sequence.
GCCUGGUUGGCUCAUUUGGUUAAGUGUCUGACUUCGGCUCAGAUCAUGAUCUCAUGGCUUGUGGGUUCAAACCCUGCACUGGGCU